rnacentral:rRNA from 1 species
UACGGGGGGGGCAAGCGUUGUUCGGAAUUACUGGGCGUAAAGGGCUCGUAGGUGGCCAACUAAGUCAGACGUGAAAUCCCCAGGCUCAACUUGGGAACUGCGUCUGAUACUGGAUGGCUUGAAUUCGGGAGAGGGAUGCAGAAUUCCAGGUGUAGCGGUGAAAUGCGUAGAUAUCUGGAGGAAUACCGGUGGCGAAGGCGGCAUCCUGGACCGAGAUUGACACUGAGGAGCGAAAGCUAGGGUAGCAAACGGG